AGCGAACGCUGGCGGCAGGCCUAACACAUGCAAGUCGAACGAACUCUUCGGAGUUAGUGGCGGACGGGUGAGUAACACGUGGGAACGUGCCCUUUGGUACGGAAUAACUCAGGGAAACUUGAGCUAAUACCGUAUGUGCCCUUCGGGGGAAAGAUUUAUCGCCAUUGGAGCGGCCCGCGUCUGAUUAGCUAGUUGGUGAGGUAAAGGCUCACCAAGGCUACGAUCAGUAGCUGGUCUGAGAGGAUGAUCAGCCACAUUGGGACUGAGACACGGCUCAAACUCCUACGGGAGGCAGCAGUGGGGAAUCUUGCGCAAUGGGCGAAAGCCUGACGCAGCCAUGCCGCGUGAAUGAUGAAGGUCUUAGGAUUGUAAAAUUCUUUCACCGGGGACGAUAAUGACGGUACCCGGAGAAGAAGCCCCGGCUAACUUCGUG
rnacentral:rRNA from 1 species